rnacentral:misc_RNA from 1 species
GAAAAUGCGAUAAGUAAUGUGAAUUGCAGAAUUCAGUGAAUCAUCGAAUCUUUGAACGCACCUUGCGCUCCUUGGUAUUCCUUGGAGCAUGCCUGUUUGAGUAUCAUGAAAUCUUCAAAGUAAAUCUUUUGUUAACUCAAUUGGUUUCUACUUUGGUAUUGGAGGUCUUUGCAGCUUCACACCUGCUCCUCUUUGUUCAUUAGCUGGAUCUCAGUGUUAUGCUUGGUUCCACUCGGCGUGAUAAGUUAUCUAUCGCUGAGGACACUGUAAAAGGUGGCCAAGGUAAAUGCAGAUGAACCGCUUCUAAUAGUCCAUUGACUUGGACAAUACUUUUAUGAUCUGAUCUCAAAUCAGGUAGGACUACCCGCUGAACUUAAGC